rnacentral:lncRNA from 1 species
AUGGGUGGUGUACUUAGAUCCACAUACUUGCGAACAACCAUCAUUAAAAAAAGGUAGGCCCAAACUUGGCGCACUGGUCGGCCCAUCUUGAUGGCCACCUCCCAACUCAAAAUUUUUCACUUAGAAGCUCCUCCACUUGGAGGAGGGGUGUGACCACUAGCUUAGCAUUGAUUUUAGUUUGAGAAUGCAUUGGGUUCAU